rnacentral:rRNA from 1 species
GAGCGCAACCCCUACUUGUUAGUUGCCAUCAUUCAGUUGGGCACUCUAGCGAGACUGCCGGUAAUAAACCGGAGGAAGGUGGGGAUGACGUCAAAUCAUCAUGCCCCUUAUGACCUGGGCUACACACGUGCUACAAUGGUUGGUACAACGAGUUGCGAGUCGGUGACGGCGAGCUAAUCUCUUAAAGCCAAUCUCAGUUCGGAUUGUAGGCUGCAACUCGCCUACAUGAAGUCGGAAUCGCUAGUAAUCGCGGAUCAGCACGCCGCGGUGAAUACGUUCCCGGGCCUU